rnacentral:rRNA from 1 species
CAGCAGCCACGGGAAUACGUAGGGUGCGAGCGUUAAUCGGAAUUACUGGGCGUAAAGCGAGCGCAGACGGUUACUUAAGCAGGAUGUGAAAUCCCCGGGCUCAACCUGGGAACUGCGUUCUGAACUGGGUGACUAGAGUGUGUCAGAGGGAGGUAGAAUUCCACGUGCAGCAGUGAAAUGCGUAGAGAUGUGGAGGAAUACCGAUGGCGAAGGCAGCCCCCUGGGCCAAUACUGACGCUCAUGCACGAAAGCGUGGGGAGCAAACAGGAUUAGAUACCCCCGUAGUCCCUGUCUCUUAUAC